rnacentral:rRNA from 1 species
UUGCCUACGGGGCGCAGCAGUAGGGAAUCUUCCACAAUGGACGAAAGUCUGAUGGAGCAACGCCGCGUGGGUGAAGGAGCGUUUCGGCGCGUAAAGCCCUGUCAGCGGGGAAGAAGAAAGACGGUACCCGACCAAGAAGCCCCGGCUAACUACGUGCCAGCAGCCGCGGUAAUACGUAGGGGGCGAGCGUUAUCCGGAAUUACUGGGUGUAAAGGGAGCGUAGACGGCGAGGUAAGCCUGAAGUGGAAGCCCGCGGCCCAACCGCGGAACUGCUUUGGGAACUGUUUUGCUGGAGUAUGGGAGGG